rnacentral:lncRNA from 1 species
CCUGUAAUCCCAGCUACUCGGGAGGCUGAGGGAGGAGAAUCGCUUGAACCCGGGAGGCGGAGGUUGCAGUGAGCUGAGACUGCACCAUUGCAUCUCAGCCUGGGUGAGAGUGAGAAUCUGUCUCAAAAAAAAAAAAAAAAAAAAAAAAAAAGACUGAUUGCAAUCACUUUAUCCUGAUAACUACUCACCACGGACUGGUUCUGGCCAGUUGACAGAGGCUGCAGAGUUGCUUCACCUUUUGACCUAGGGGGCCUAACCAUAAUGCAUUUACAUGUUAAGUCUCCGCUCCAAGGUGAACUUGGGAGUAGGUAACAUGCAUGUUUGUUCAAUACCCAUGCGUCAGGACACCCUUGGUGAAUAUCCAUAGCUCUUCCUAUAACUUCUUGAAUAUAUACACUUGGCCAACCCACUCAGCAUAAAUUCCCGUCUCAUCUUUUCUUCCCUCCAAGUGCUUGUUUUCAGUUUUUUCUCCUCCACCCUCAGCCUCCCGAGUAGCUGAGACUGCAGGCGUGUACCGCCAUGCCCGCCUAAUUUUUUUAUUUUUUUCUAGAGAUGGGGUCUGACUAUGUUGCCCAGGCUGGUCUCAAACUCUUGGCCUCAAGCAAUCCUCCUGCCUCGACCUCCCAAAGUGCUGGGAUUACAGGCGUGAGCCACCGCGCCCGGCCAGAAGAAAGACUUUAUGGAGAAGAAUGUUGACAUUAUGACAGCGAAUUGUGUGCCUGCUGGCUGUCUGGGUUUCACCCACCCAUCACAGCCCCACCCAGCCCCCACCAAUCAGAACGUAAGCCGCCGAGGACAGGAAGGUUUCUCCUUGGUCUGUUUCUCUCACUACAGGGACCCCGGGAAAUAGAAUGGCACCUGUCACACAGUAGCUUUCAGACACACACAUUCAGAGUCCAGAAUGUUCACCAUUACACCAUGGAACUAUCUUCACGGUAGCUUCCUAAUACAUGUUUGUUCCCUCGAUAAAUGAAACAAGGGCGUUGGGACUCCAGCCUGUCAUCCCAGCACUUUGGGAAGUAGAGGUGGGUAGGUUCCUUGAGUUCAGGAGUUUGAGACCAGCCUGGACAACACAGCAAGAUCCCGCCUCUGCAAAAAAAAAAAAAAAAAAA